rnacentral:misc_RNA from 1 species
UUAUAAUUUGACCGACACUCUCUCUGAAUUUAACAAGCCUAUCAAAGGAUUAAUUUCUCUUAUUAAUUACACCCAACAACUUUACUUUGUAAAUGGAAUCAUUGUUACCAUUUUUAUGAUUCCAAUCCAUUUUGUCCACUGCUAGAUGAGUUAUGCUGAGAUAAUAGGCAAUCUGAUUGGAUAAUGAUUGAAUUGAUAAUAAUAUACAUAUUUACAGCUUGGUUUUAUAUAGUAUUUACUGACAG